rnacentral:sRNA from 1 species
AAGGAGUCUAACAUAUAUGCGAGUGUUCGGAUGGAAAACCCUGACGCGGAAUGAAAGUGAAGGCCUCACGGCUUAGGUGUGAGUCCCUGUGGACGCAACAUCGACCGACCAUGAUCUUUAUGUGAAAGGUUUGAGUAAGAGCAUAGCUGUUGGGACCCGAAAGAUGGUGAACUAUGCCUGAAUAGGGUGAAGCCAGGGGAAACUCUGGUGGAGGCUCGUAGCGGUUCUGACGUGCAAAUCGUUCGUCGAAUUUGGGUAUAGGGGCGAAAGACUAAUCGAACCAUCUAGUAGCUGGUUCCUCC